AUCACAAGAACACCGCGACAGGACCUGCAGGAUGUCAGUGAUAGACCGACGUGAGGGUAGUGGAAACAGCAAUAUCCAUAUAAUAUUAAUUUUGAUAGUGAAAAUAGUAAUGUCUUUAAGUAAUGUGUGUGAAGUGGCUGCGCGGGCCUCAUAUUGUUGCUACUACUACUACUACUACUACUACUACUACUGGUGAUCCUGCAAUUACUCUUUCUCUUCCUCCUACUCCUCCUCCUCUUCCUCCUCCGACUGCAUCAAAGGGAGUGGAGCUUCUUAGUUUGUGGAAGGGUGAUCUGCUACGACAAGACAAUGAGGGUGAAGAGAAGAUGAUAAAGGAUAAUUUUGAAGGAGAGAGGGAAGGAAAUCAAGAAGCAGAGAUGAUAACAAAAGAUAAUGAUGAAGGAGAGGAGGAAGGAAAUCAAGAAGAGGAGGAAGAAACAGAACUUUACAGGGAAGCAGAGGAGAAACAAAGAAAUGAGGAAGAAGAAAGGAGAAGAAGAAGAAGAAGAAGAAACACAUAAUAAAAGUAAGAAAGAUUGAAUCAGAUGAAAAUGAAGAACAAGAACAAGAACAGGAAACACAAGAUAACAAUGGGAAGGAGGGGGAAUUAAGUGAACAUGAAGAAAAGGGAGAGAAAACAGAAAAACAUAUAAAGAUGAAAAAAAUGAGUGAAGAAAAAGAAAAGGAGGAGCCGAAGGAAGAAGAGAAGAAGGAGGAAGAAGUGGAGGGCAAUAAAAUGGAACAUGGAAAGAAGAAACAACGUGUAAUGAAGCAAAACAAGAAAAACAAUUGACGAUAACGAUGAAGACGAGAGAGAGAGAAGAAGAGAAAAGGAAAGGUGAGCAAAAGAAGAAAUGGUAAGCAAGGAGAAAAUGACAACAAUUCCGAAACAAGGAACCAAAACAAACAAGGAGAAGAGAAACAAGACCAAAAGAAGUACAAGACAGUUGCUGGUAGAGGAAAAUUAAGUAAUGAUGGUGAUGGUGAUGGUGAUGGUGAUGGUGGUGAGGGAAGCGAAGGAAACGAAAAAAGCAAAUUAGAAAGAGAAAUGCAUAGCGAACUAAUAAAUGAAGAAGGUGAAUAUAGCGAUGGGCAAGACAGUGAUAAGCAACUCGAUGUAUCAAUCCUCCUACCAACUGAACAAAUACAAUCUCCAGCUGAUGAACAUAAUACACGAGAAAGUGACAACCCUUUUGAUUUAAUUGUUAAGAACGUUAAGUGGAUGAUAUUGGCUGUCCCUUGUUUCGUCUUAAUUUUGGGCAUUAAGAUAGUGACUGGCCGACUGUUCGUAAAUGGAAGCCGCAGAACCACCACCGACACCAACACCAACAACGACAGUGCAAGAAACAACGGUGACUACAACGACCCUAGCACAUCUGCAGAAGAAAAUAACCCCAGCAGUUCCAAUAGUAGUAGCAGUGUUGCCAACUCCUUCUCCAUCAAAGACAUGACCGAUAACGUAUUUUUGUCGUUAACGUCUCAGAUAAUUCAAAUUGUCUUUCAUUACACUCUUACUAGACAAAAUUGUGGUGAUCUUGAGCCAUUCAUGCGUGUUUAAUUCUAAUUUUUGCCCAUAUCCUGAAACGCUGGCGCCGCACCUCCAUUACAGACGCUGAAAAGGUUCUAGUUCAGGUUUUUAAUGGUGUUUUUUACGGUCAUAGUGACAUAUCAACAAGAUUUCUAAGUUAUGGAGAGGAAAGCACUGUUGAGAACACGGCUCGUCAUCUCUUGUGGCCUUGGAAAAUAGUAGUGGUGGGAAAGCAAAGCGUUUCAGAAUACGGGGUUGUGUGAGAGGAGGGGGAGGGGCGUGGUUGCCUACUUGUGAUUGCAACGGGAUCCAGUCAAACUACAAUUUUUUUUUUUUUUUUUUUUUUUGUUGAAAUCCCAAUGUAUUUUUUU